GGCUGUAUAGUGUAGUGGUUUAGCACUUGGGAUUUUGAUUUCAAUUAAAGUUCCCACAACCCGGUUCGAACCCGGGUACGGUCA